AUGGACUACACACACCGUAUAUUACAUGAACUACGCACCAUAUAUUACAUGGACUACACACACCGUAUAUUACAUGGACUACGCACCAUAUAUUACAUGGACUACACACACCAUAUAUUACAUGGACUACACACACCGUAUAUUACAUGGACUACACACACCGUAUAUUACAUGAACUACGCACCAUAUAUUACAUGGACUACGCACCAUAUAUUACAUGGACUACACACACCGUAUAUUACAUGGACUACGCACCAUAUAUUACAUGGACUACGCACCAUAUAUUACAUGGACUACACACACCAUAUAUUACAUGGACUACACACACCAUAUAUUACAUGGACUACACACACCAUAUAUUACAUGGACUACGCACCAUAUAUUACAUGGACUACACACACCAUAUAUUACAUGGACUACACACCAUAUAUUACAUGGACUACGCACCAUAUAUUACAUGGACUACACACACCAUAUAUUACAUGGACUACACACACCAUAUAUUACAUGGACUACGCACCAUAUAUUACAUGGACUCCACACCAUAUAUUACAUGGACUACACACACCAUAUAUUACAUGGACUACGCACCAUAUAUUACAUGGACUACGCACCAUAUAUUACAUGGACUACACACCAUAUAUUACAUGGACUACGCACCAUAUAUUACAUGGACUCCACACCAUAUAUUACAUGGACUACGCACCAUAUAUUACAUGGACUCCACACCAUAUAUUACAUGGACUACACACACCAUAUAUUACAUGGACUACACACACCGUAUAUUACAUGGACUACACACACCGUAUAUUACAUGGACUACGCACCAUAUAUUACAUGGACUACACACCAUAUAUUACAUGGACUACACACACCAUAUAUUACAUGGACUACACACAUCAUAUAUUACAUGGACUACACACCAUAUAUUACAUGGACUACGCACACAUUAUAUUACAUGGACUACACACACCAUAUAUUACAUGGACUACACACACCGUAUAUAUUACAAGGACUACACACACCAUAUAUUAUAUGGACUACACACACCAUAUAUUACAUGGACUACACACACCAUAUAUUACAUGGACUACACACACCGUAUAUUACAUGGACUACACACACCAUAUAUUACAUGGACUACACACCAUAUAUUACAUGGACUACACACACCGUAUAUUACAUGGACUACACACACCAUAUAUUACAUGGACUACACACACCAUAUAUUACAUGGACUACACACACCGUAUAUUACAUGGACUACACACCAUAUAUUACAUGGACUACACACACCGUAUAUUACAUGGACUACACACAUCAUAUAUUACAUGGACUACACACACCAUAUAUUACAUGGACUACACACACCAUAUAUUACAUGGACUACACACACCGUAUAUUACAUGGACUACACACACCGUAUAUUACAUGGACUACACACCAUAUAUUACAUGGACUACACACACCGUAUAUUACAUGGACUACACACAUCAUAUAUUACAUGGACUACACACACCAUAUAUUACAUGGACUACACACACCAUAUAUUACAUGGACUACACACACAUUAUAUUACAUGGACUACACACACCAUAUAUUACAUGGACUACACACACCGUAUAUUACAAGGACUACACACACCAUAUAUUAUAUGGACUACACACACCAUAUAUUACAUGGACUACACACACCAUAUAUUACAUGGACUACACACACCGUAUAUUACAUGGACUACACACAUCAUAUAUUACAUGGACUACACACACAUCAUAUACAGUUGAAGUCAGAAGUUUACCUACACUUAGGUUGGAGUCAUUAAAACUCGUUUUUCAACCACUCCACAAAUUUCUUGUUAACAAACUAUAG
rnacentral:lncRNA from 8 species